CCAUUUAGUUAGUUAGGUAUCUAUAUACUUAACACAAUACUAAUAUAUAUUGUUUAAAGUUCGUGUGCAAUAUGACUCGUCCCUGAGAUUUUCUCGUUAGUUCGAUGAUCAAUUUUUUUAUAAUAGCCGAAUAUUUACUAUUUUUUAGAUUCAGAGCGCAACGAGGAAUGUACUGAUUUUACUAUGAUGUAGGUAUUUUUUUUUAAUUCUGAGUGUAGGUGAUGGGAAAUUAGAAGGUACAUAAAGUUAAUUCCACAGGUAAUCUUAAUAUUAUCUCCCGCUGAAUAAGUAAUUAAAUUGCCUGGUUUCAGUUCGCAAGAAUGAUGCCGAUUGAAAAUAUUAAACCCUCCUUUCCUUUCUCUUUAUUCGUAUCGUUAAAUUAUUAUAAUCAUAUAUUUUCGUAUUAUUGAAUUAUGUUCUGUUAUUCGGUUAUUUUGAUUUUUGUAUAAUUAUGUUGCCUAAGAACGUAAUUAAAUUUUGACUGUUAACAAUGACAUGUUAAAAAGUAGACCAUUUUAGUGGAAGGCUCUAAUUGUAGUAGAAAACUACUAUUUGUACCUAUACUUAUUUAUUAUAUUUGUUAAGCAA